AGUAUAAAGUGGUAUUUGUUGUGUGUGUUAAUUUUAGGAUCUCUACUGAAUAAACCGACAUUUUUAAAAGCCCUAAGAGGGGCGCGAUGCGGACGGGAGUCGGCAACUGUAACGCGUGAAUUCUAAGCACCGUUCAGCGAUGCUGGUCACGAGGUUGGCGGCACGGUGAAGUGCGUUCUUUACCAACAUAUUCGGAAUCCUGUACGUAUGGGGCCGCUCUGAAGGCGUUUCAGUAUGACGGUUUUUUCACGCAAUGCACUGAAGUAUCUGCCGUAGCCAUCAAGCUAAGCGACCGCCUGGUUUGCUCUCCUCGUUACUACUGAGGAGUUGACGAACGUGUGUCGUAUUCAGAACUACAAUUUGUGGUUUGUUUUUACGAUCGAUGUGGGCUGGCGUCUUUGGUUAACUUAGUGUCUGGCGGCAAUGGUGACCCUGCGGAGGGAUAAUCGGUUGUCGUGCGAUGCUUGGUAUGGCUAGAGGUUCGCUGGUCUUAUAGUCAUCGCUUUAUCUGACCCGUCUUGAAACACGGACCAAGGAGUGUUUCGCUUACGCGAGUCUUAGAGUGUGUCAAAACUUUGAGGCGUAACGAAAGUAAAUGUGGAUUUAUUCACUGACUUGGGAUGCGUUGUCUUUUUUGGAUAGCGUUGGACCAUGGUUUUAUCGUAAUCGCUUGCGAUGCGGUGAAAAUAGAGCGUAAGCGGUGCGACCCGAAAGAUGGUGAACUAUGCCUGAGCAGGAUGAAGCCGGAGGAAACUCUGGUGGAAGUCCGAAGCGGUUCUGACGUGCAAAUCGAUCGUCUGACUUGGGUAUAGGGGCGAAAGACUAAUCGAACCCAUCUGGUAGCUGGGUUUUCCUCUGAAGUUUUUCCUCAGGGAAUAGGCUGAA
rnacentral:rRNA from 1 species